GAUGAACGCUGGCGGCGUGCUUAACACAUGCAAGUCGAACGGUGAAGGCGGAGCUUGCUCUGCUGGAUCAGUGGCGAACGGGUGAGUAACACGUGAGCAAUCUGUCCCUGACUCUGGGAUAAGCGCUGGAAACGGCGGCUAAUACUGGAUACGAGCUGCGAAGGCAUAUGCAGCAGCUGGGAAGAACUGCGGUGAGGGAUGAGCUCGCGGCCUAUCAGCUUGUUUGGGAGGUAGCGGCGCACCAAGGCGUCGACGGGUAGCCGGCCUGAGAGGGUGACCGGCCACACUGGGACUGAGACACGGCCCAGACUCCUACGGGAGGCAGCAGUGGGGAAUAUUGCACAAUGGGCGAAAGCCUGAUGCAACAACGCCGCGUGAGGGACGACGGCCUUCGGGUUGUAAACCUCUUUUAGCAGGGAAGAAGCGAAAGUGACGGUACCUACAGAAAAAGCGCCGGCUAACUACGUG
rnacentral:rRNA from 1 species